CCUACGGGUGGCAGCAGUCGAGAAUCAUUCACAAUGGGGGAAACCCUGAUGGUGCGACGCCGCGUGGGGGAAUGAAGGUCUUCGGAUUGUAAACCCCUGUCAUGUGGGAGCAAGUUAAAACGAUAGCACCACAAGAGGAAGAGACGGCUAACUCUGUGCCAGCAGCCGCGGUAAUACAGAGGUCUCAAGCGUUGUUCGGAAUCACUGGGCGUAAAGCGUGCGUCGGCUGUUCCGUAAGUCGGGAGUGAAAGGCGCGGGCCCAACCCGCGGACGGCACAUGAUACUGCGAGACUAGAGUGAUGGAGGGGGAGCCGGAAUUCUCGGUGUAGCAGUGAAAUGCGUAGAUAUCGAGAGGAACACUCGUGGCGAAGGCGGGUUGCUGGACAUUAACUGACGCUGAGGCACGAAGGCCAGGGGAGCGAAAGGGAUUAGAUACCCGUGUAGUC
rnacentral:rRNA from 1 species